GCGCCGCGCGUGGGAUGUGCGUUGGGGUGAACCCUAGCCCCCCAAUCCACAGCCGCCACACCCUCCCUCCUCCUCCUUCCCUAGUUCGCCACCGCACUCCUUUCCCUCCUCCCUCAUCGCCAAACCCUCCGCCCAGGUCCGCGCGCUCGUCCUGUCGUCUCAUGCACCAUCGCUGCCGGCCCCUGCCAUGGUGUUGCGGUGCUCUUCCUGCCCCCCUCGCGUCCGACCUCACCAGGUCCUCGAUGCCAGCCUCAUCGGCUUGCUGCGGCGGCCGCUCUCGACGCCGUCCUUGCGACCCGACAGCGGCAAACCCGAGGGCCGGCGGCUCAUGUGGUGGUGUAGCGGAUGGCAGCCUCAGCGGGUGAGCAACGGAGACUGCACCUGGUGCACGAGCUCGCACCCCAAUGCGUCCGUGCUCGAAUAGCUCGCAUAUUCACGGCCACCAAAUACGUAGGCCAGUAGUUAAAUUUUCUACAGAUGAGUCCUUGUCGGAUGGAUGGUGACUAACGAGAUGCACUUCUUUGACACAAGUAAUUUUAAUAAAGGGAUUGUGUACAAGUGUUCAGAUCUUUUCUUGUGACAAGGAUGCACAAAAUCAAGUUUUUUGUCGGUAGGAGCUUUUUUCGAUGUCCAACUGUUGAGUUCCACUUCCACUGGAACAAGGGGUCUACUGGACUUCUUAUUGUUUCCCAACCUGAUGUGGAUAAAAUCAACGAGAGUAUUAUGGUGAAACCAAGUUGCACUACUUGACAAGUAGGGCCUUUGAAGGAAUUGUUCCUCUCAAAAAGGAAGGGCCAGUGCAUGAUGUUCAGUGAUCUUCUUUAGGUUCCGAUUUUUUUGUGAUCUAUGGAUAUAUCCUUACAUAGUCCUUACAUGAACCAUAACAUUUCUGAUUUAAUGUCUUUGUAUUCUACAACUGUUCCUUGACUGAAUCUCGGUUAGGCCUGCCAGAGCAAUAAUAUUCAGCCAAAAAUGCAAUCCUCUUCACGAGCUUGGUGAAGGCCAUUAUAAUACGAUAAGAUUGAAUCCCGAAGGGCGAUGUAUCCUUUCAUUAAUUUUAUCAGCCAGUCGUGCUAUGUUCUUUGGUCUGAAUGGGUGUAGAUAUAUAUGCACACCCUUCUGUUAUACUCCCUCCGUUCCUAAAUAUAAGUCUUUUUAGAGAUUUCAACAAGUGACUACAUACGGAGAAAAAUGAAUGAAUCUAUACUCUAAAAUAUGUCUACGUACAUCCGUAUGUUAUAGUCCAUUUGAAAUGUCUAAAAAGACUUAUAUUUAGGAACGGAGGGAGUAGUUUGGUUAUUAGCAUAGCAAUAUGCGUUUAACAAAUUGUUAAUGUUCUGUUAUUGCUUGCUUUCGUGUAAGAAAAAAAAUCAUGUUUAGCUUGGUGAUAUCCUUUGACCCAAAUUUCUCCACCAAUUAUUGUUAUAUUUGGACCUGGUAAUUCGCUGGGUAAUAUUGUCACUAAAAUUUGUAUUAGACAAUAGCCUUAACAGUUAGAAUGAGUAAACAAUCUGAUUGGGGAAGUCUUGUCUGGUUUAAGAGAGCCUAUGACAGACUACAAAAGCAAAAAAGGGCAUGCUUUGAUAUUUCUUUAUGUGGUUGCCACAUAGCUCACAGUUUUUUUUUCCAGCUUUCUGGGACUAUUCAGAAAAGAAAUUAGUAGGGAAAACAAAGGCUGAAUGGCAUGUCCGAUGGUCGCCAUUCUGAUUGCUUCUUAAUUGUACAGGUUGAAUAGAAGCCAGAAUAUCCUGGAAGACUUGGUGACAUUGCUGACCUCACAAUAUCUUUGUAUAGCAUAAAAAAUGAAGAAACAAAGAAGCAAUGUUCCAGUAAAUUUGCAGAGGUGAAAUAUUAACGCCAGUUCGAGCGCACCGGCCUCGAUGGCAAGAGACCACUACCAUCAGGUUUACUUCCUCUUUUGCUUGUCUGGUUGCUAGGUUGGUGGUUCAUCUUUCUUUUUCAUAGCAACCUACAUCUUUCUAUACCAAGAAUUUGUUUCUGAAUCAACAUCGUAGUUGUCUACACCGGUUUCUGAAUCAACAUUUUAGUUGUUUCUGAAUCAACAUUUUAGUUGUUUCUGAAUCAAGAUCCUAGUUGUCUACAUCUGUCUACACCGAGAGCUUGUUUCUGUAUCAAUCAACAUCUUAGUUGUCUACAUCUAUCAACACUGAGGGCUUGUUUCUGUAUCAACAUCUUACUGAUACAUCAGUUAAAGAUGGAAAUUAUUUUUUGCUUUGAUUUUUUGAAUCAAAAUCUUAGUUGUUUACACCAUGAGCUUGUUUCCUUUCAUUGGAGGGAUGGUGUUAGCGAAGGCCGAUUUUGCCAGGUCUUUAUCAAAUGGAUGCAGAGUAGCUGAAUGGAAGCGGCAAAUCUCACUUUCACUUAGAAGAGUUGAGCCGGGGCUGCGGAUGGUCAGUGCAUAAAUUAUAUUUGGCAAGUAUGUUUAUUUGGCAAGUUUGAUAUACUGUUCUGCCUUGAGACCACUCACUGUCCAUAAGCUUUCAGAAGGUCUGUGCAUAAAAUAUAUUCUCACUCUCCAUGAAACACACUCUGACUAACUUAGUAUUUUCAUUAGCAGAUCCUUGCAUCACAACAUGCCAGACAUUCAGACAAAGCUAUUUAUCUAUGGUCUACUCUAUAAUCUACUACUGUCACCUUAUACCACAGAAUAAUCAUAUGAAUCAGUUAUCCUCGACUACUGUUAUGACUUGCUUUUGGUAUAUCAUGCUACCUUUGAACUAGGCGAAGCAAACCUUUCACCAUGUGUACUCCCACUUGCUGCUACAUUUUCUAUGAGAUGCACCCAGGAGAAAAUAGAAUACCGAAUAGUAUCUCCUUCAAAAUUUGCCAACUGAGGUGUCUCGUUGCUUACGGAUAUGCAAGCCUGCUUACAUCACCCAAGAUCUCCUUCUCCUGGUCCAGGCAAUCACACAUGAUGAAACCACUCAUUUUAGUGGUAUACCAUAUUGUGAGCAAUCAGGAACAAAAACAGGAGGGUUAAUUGUCACAAAACGGUGCUGCAUAUUUUUCAGAAGAUAUGCAUUGUGAUUGAACAUGAGAAACCCUUUACCUCCCUGCAUUAUCUUUAUAUGUUAUUAAAAUGUUACACAUGUUUUGGUCCUCCCAAGACAUUAUUAAUCCAUAAUGUAAAUAACUCUGAUGUAUGAUGAUUUUCAGUGAGAUAUCCUUUUAUCUCCAGGCAUUUCUUUCAUGUAGUGGAUAUACAAAAUAAACUGUAGGAGCAAAUGUUGCUUGUGGGACUGGUGCUUGUGUAGUUGUUGCAACUGUUCUUGAGAGCCGAGCUGAAUGUAUCUGAAAAAGGAUAAUCUGACACCUAAUAAGGAUCAGGAGAACAAUAGAGAUGCUAAGAGGAAACCUUUUGGGGUUAAGGAUAUAAACAACAAAAUGGCUUAUUAGGCCGAAGAGAGCUCAAGGGGUGUCUUUUGGUUCUUGAAGGCCUGCACUUUCCUGGUGGAGUAGCAUCAAAAUAGUUCAGAGGCUUUAAAGCUACUUAACUUCACGUAGUUAGGAUCAAUUCUUUGUUUCGGUUUGAAGUACCCUCCAGUUCCUCCUAUUUGAUUGAAUAAACAGAAGGCACAUGGAUUGUUACGAGUGAAGCCAUCCAUAGAAGUCGAUAUAUUAAAAAUCCAAUAUGAGGAAUUCAAGAUAUAGAGAAAUGCUAUUGUUCUUUUGCUAAUUAGUUGCUUGACCAAAUGUACUGUAAAUGAUGUUAUUAUUCUUCAAGAUAUAGAGAAAUGUUAUUGUUCUUCAUUGUA